rnacentral:lncRNA from 1 species
UCCGAAUUAGAAUACAAAACGGUCCGCAAGUGGGAAAAAUUUGCGGCGGUGGCUAGAAAUUAAUGGAAACGGUGGGAAAAAACACACAAACUCGACUGAAACAAGACCUAACCAGUAACAAGACCUCGACCAGGACACAAACUCAACACUACGGACAAAGGCUAUGGCGCGGAUGGGUUGUAGGACAUGAAAACAAUAUGCCACUAGACUUAUGGGAUGAACACAAGGACACUCGAAACUAAGGGUAGAUGUGAACCUAACGGUAUGUGUCAUGCUUUGAUUACCACUUGAGGAGAACAAGUGUGGCCCGAUCUUCCGAAAGGUUCUGGUAACUAUCGAUUUGGUGGAAUCGAGACACAAAUCAAUCCAGCUUGCGAACAACACGAUUCGAAACCCAACAAUUCUUUUUUAUUUUUUUUAUAUUUUUCUUUCACUUAGGAGCACUCAAGAAGUAACCAUAGGAAAUUAGAGCUUAAACAAGUGAAAGACGUGGCCUGUGGAAAUUUUUGGAAAUUGUGAAAAAUAUGAAAAAAACUUUUGGAGGUGAAAACUCAAACUUCAGAGGCGAAUUUGGGGAUUCUAAAAUUGUCAAACCCGCACACGGCGGGGAUAGACAGAUCCAAAAAUUUGGUUUGAUCGAUUUUGAUAUAUGGAACGUCAAAAUCGGAGUUCGUAUGCGGAAAUUAUGGCUGUUUUACGAACGGACUCUGAAUUAGAAGACAAAACGGUCCGGAAGUGGAUAAAAUUUGCGGCGGUGGCUAGAAAUUGAUGGAAACGGUGGGAAGAAGCACACAAAUUGGACUCUAACAAGACCUAACGAGUAACAAGACCUCGACUAGUACACAAAUUCAACACUACGGACUGUGAAACUGAAAUAUGCAAAGGCUAUGGCGCGGAUGGGUUGUAGGACAUGAAAACAAUAUGCCACUAGACUUAUGGGACGAACACAAAGACACUCGAAACUAAGGGUAGAUGUGAACCUAACGGUAUGUCUCAUGCUUUGAUUACCACUUGAGGAGAACAAGUGUGGCCCGAUCUUCCGAAAGGUUCUCAUAACUAUCGAUUUGGUGGAAACGAGACACAAAUCAAUCCAGCUUACGAACAACACGGUUUGAAACCCUACAAUUCUUUUUUUUUUGAUAUUUUCCUUUUACUUAGGAGCACUCAAGAAGUAAGCACAGAAAAUUUGAGCUUAAACAAGUGAAAGACGUGGCUUGUGGAAUUUUUUGAAGAUUGCGAAAAAUAUAAAAAAAUUAGGAGGUGAAAACUCAAACUUCAGAGGCGAAUUUGGGGAUUCUAAAAUUACUGAACCUGCCUUUGGCUGAAAUAUGCGAAGGCUAUGGUGCGGAUGGGUUGUAGGACAUGAAAACAAUAUGGCACUAGACUUAUGGGACGAACACAAGGACACUCGAAACUAAGGGUAGAUGUGAACCUAAUGGUAUGUCUCAUGCUUUGAUUACCACUUGAGGAGAACAAGUGUGGCCCGAUCUUCCGAAAGGUUCUGGUAAAUAUCGAUCUGGUGGAAACGAGACACAAAUCAAUCCAGGUUGCAAACAACACGAUUCGAAACCCUACAAUUCUUUUUAUUUUUUUAUAUUUUUCUUUUACUUAGGAGCACUCAAGAAGUAACCACAUGAAAUUUGAGCUUAAACAAGUGAAAGACGUGGCAUGUGGAAAUUUUUGAAAAUUACAAAAAAUAUGAAAAAAACUUUUAGAGGUGAAAACUCAAACUUCAGAGGCAAAUUUGGGGACUAUAAAAUUGUCAAACCCACACACGGCGGGGAUAAACUGAUCCAAAAAUUUGGUUUGAUCGAUUUGGAUAUAUGGAACGUCAAAAUCGGAGUUCGUAUGCGAAAAUUAUGGUUGUUUUACGAACGGACUCCGAAUUAGAAGACAAAACGGUCCGCAAGUGGGAAAAAUUUGCGGCGGUGGCUAGAAAUUGAUGAAAACGGUGGGAAAAAACACACAAACUGGACUCAAACAAGACCUAACCAGUAACAAGACCUCGACCAGGACACAAACUCAACACUACGGACAAAGGCUAUGGCGCGGAUGGGUUGUAGGACAUGAAAACAAUAUGGCACUAGACUUAUGGGACGAACACAAAGACACUCGAAACUAAGGGUAGAUGUGAACCUAACGGUAUGUCUCAUGCUUUGAAUACCACUUGAGGAGAACAAGUGUGGCCCGAUCUUCCGAAAGGUUCUGGUAACUAUCGAUUUGGUGGAAACGAGACACAAAUCAAUCCAGCUUGCCAACAACACGAUUCGAAACCCUACAAUUCUUUUUAUUUUUUUAUAUUUUUCUUUUACUUAGGAGCACUCAAGAAGUAACCACAGGAAAUUGGAGCUUAAACAAGUGAAAGACGUGGCCUGUGGAA